GGACUCCGGGGAAUCAUCGCCCCAUCCCACACCCGGACGAAAUGGCAGACAGUCAAGGGGAACCAGCGCACAAGGACUAUGCAAGUCUUCCACCCCAGCCCGAGAGCCGCAGGGCAGGAGACAGAUAGGAGGACAGACCAUGCCAAUGCUAAACCAACAUACUUAAUAUGAGCCUGGCAGAAAACUUCAGGGAACGAUCUGAAAGCUCCCCUAAACCCUCGGGUGACAUCCCCCUCUUCCUGAGACGGCCGUUCUCCGUUUCGGCUGACGGCCAGUGGACUGCGGAGGCCAAAAUGCUAGUGCCCUCCACAGAUGAGGCAACUCUUCAGAUGGAGGUCUUGGAAAUGGGAACAUCUGAUUUGCUCAAAGCACAACACAAGGACGUUGGAGUGAGUGACUUUUGGAUCAACGUGGUACCCCAAGCUCAAUUCAAAAACACAAGAGCUAUUGCAAUGCUCCUGCUCAUGCUGUUCCCCUCCACGUGCAUAUGUACUCUAUCAAGAACCAGGACAGAAACAGACUCUCCAAUGCACGUCUUGGCCAGUGCCUCAGGAUUGUCACAACAGAAUACAGGCCUGACGUCAGAAGGAUUGCCUCAUCCUGUCGCUGUCACUUCUCUCACUGAGUGAACUUCACUUACAACACAGUUGAACAGCAUUCCAUGAAUCCAGCAAUGAAGUACAAGUGGGAUGCUACAUCAAAUAUUAAAACUGAGGAACUUCACAGAGAAAAUGAGAGAGUAAAUUUGCGAGUGGAAUAUUUGAAUCAGCAAAUUAAACAACGCAACAAAUUAAAGGACACUGUCACAAUGUUACAAGAGAGUCAUAGAGCCAUCAUAUCCUCCUAUAAUUACUUACAAGAACUGCUGAAUGCAACUCAACAGGGGACAGACAUGCCAAAUCUUGGCUCUCGGCAUACAGAAGUAUGGAGCAAGCUGUCAGCUUCAGGAAUCUCAGAUAACCCUCAUCAUUCAAAUACAGCCAUCACAGUAAUAGAGAUAUAGUGUAAUGAAAGUGCAGUUAGUACAGGAACUCAUUUUAGUAGUUAGUGUAACUUCAUCAAAUACCCAAUUCUAAAAAAAUUAAUUUUUGUAGGAAAUAGUACACGAGCAAAGCCUAAAUUUUUUGUGCAGAUAAACCCUUAGUUUGACAAAAUUAACAGUUGGUCUGGAAUAAAUAUGCUGUGUUAAUGCUAGACCACCUGGAACUAAAUGUAUUGGAGAAUAGGCAGGGUUAACAUUGGAAUCAGUUUGUCAUGCAGAGAGACCUCAACUGGUCUGUGUGUGUUCCUAACCUUUUUAAAAUCAAAAGUGUUAUGUAUGAUGCUUACAAGACGAAGUCUUAGUUUGAUUUUUAUGUGUAAACGGUUGGUAACGUGCAAUGAAUUGGCGAUACGUUCCUGGAAUGUAAUAAAUGUUUCUAUCUGGUUUGCUAAAAUAGGCAGUUUUUCAUGCACAUGAACAAACUUGUAAUCUAGUUUCCGAUCAUUACAUAUAGCUUGCAAUACACAGAAGUGGAGCUUAUACCAAAUUGUAUUCCACAUAAUAAUAUUGUCUUGGGAGUUAUAAAACUGUAAUAAUAGUGUUGAGAAUAAGCUAGGAAUGGCAAUUGAAAUAAGAAUCAGUGUUGGUGGAAUCACUAAACAGGGCCGCCAGGAUCAUCGACCUGAAUCAUUAACACUUCCUUUUAGUUUACCAACCCACUGAGUGCUUCAGCGUUUUUCAUUUUAGCUUUCCAGCAUCUGAAGUUUUUUAGAAAAACAUAAAAAUAUAGAUGUUGGAAAUGUAAAAUUUACUAAGUAGUAAUGGCACUAGAUUUACAGCAUCAGUGAAUACAGAUGGGAUUGGAUUCCUACCAUGUUCUCCCCGUGAUUGUGUGAGUUUCCUCUGCAUGUUCUACUUUCUGUCCACAUUCCUAAGAUGUAGGGUGAGGGUGAGAAAGUUGUGGCCAUGCUAUGUUGGGGCCAGAAGCAUGCUGACACUUGUGGGCUGCCACCAGCAGAACCCUUGCUGAUUUGACACACAUAUCACAGUUCACUAAGUACAUCCGACAAAUAAAGCUAACCUUUAAUCUUCAAGUGUUGAAGCACUUUAAAACAAAACAGUAAAACGGUAGAAGUGUAUAGCAGGGGUCAGGCAGUAUCUAUGGGAGAGAAGCAGAGUUGAUGCUCAGGUAGAUGAGUUUGCAUAAACUUUUAGAAUGUUCUGGAACUGAUCCUUCUGUUCUCUUUAUAGGCAGCACUGACCUGCUGAAUAUUUCCAGUAUUUUCUGUUUCUGUGUCAGUUGUGUUUUUGUAGCCUUUAUUUUGACUGUCUAUUUAGAAAGAUUAAGUGUUGAUCAUGUUCCUAAUGGUUUCAAUUGCCAUUCUGCACUCAGGGAAUGGAAUGGAAGGUGUUUAAGAGAAUGUGUUUUGAUCAUUAUGCAAUUUGACAUAUACAUUUAAUUUAUGGAUCUGUCUAGUCACAAAACAUAGUGGCACAUAGCUACAAAUUUAAAUUUACAUUUAGAUCUACCGUGUCUUCAUAGCUACAAUGGAAAUGUCAAAAUAUGAUGGUGUACUUUUACAAUGGUGUUUGUUCGAUUCUGAGAGGAUUCAUUUUGGGACCAUUAGUAUUCCCUCUGUACAUUGAUGAUGAAACCCCGAGACUUAAUAAUUGGAAAAAGACACAUAAGUAAUAAGUGGAUAAUUACUUUCUAAUUUAUUGUGAACUAGAUUGCAUUGACUGAAAGUUAAAUGAAAGCAGAUUCACUUGAUCUUUCAAAACCAGAACAAAUGAAAUAUUAGAAUGUCUAAAUAUGAAUAUUUCAAGUUCUGUGCACAAUGUAAAUAGAAUUAAGAUCGCCAAGUUGAUGAAAUCAAAUUUGUUACUUUAAGAUAUUUUUCAGUUUUGUAUUUGACUUAUACUUUGUGCUGCCAUUACAAUACAUAAGUGUAAUAUCUUACAGCAUUGAAACUGCUGGUUCAUCUACUUUUUGUGAAACAUUAUGCUUUUCAAGAAUAUCUUCUAGAACCAACAAGGGUAUAUUUUUGGCUAAUAAUGUGAUGAGCUAACUUUAAUUAGCAGCUUAGUGUGGUGUGGCAUGAAUCUUUAUCUAUUACAGAUCAAACCAUGACCAUGUUCACCACAGAUUUUGCAGGGAAGAAACAUUUGUUCAAUGUUUAUAUGCAAAUUAUAAGAUGGGGGAAUGGGACAAAAGGGGAGAUUAGAUCAGCUCAUGAUGAAAUGGCGGAGCAGACUUGAUGGGCUGAAUGGCCGACUUCUGCUCCUUUGUCUUGUCUUAUGGAAUAAGACUGAUGAGAGAUUGAAGGUGUGAUUGUAAUCUGGGGAAACUAGAAAUGGGUAAAAUAACAUAUCAACAGAAACGCAUGUGAUUGUGAACAGUCUUGUCGUUCAGAGAACUUUUUUUUUCCAAAUCCUGUAUGAGAUUGAUGAAAGGUAUAUUGAGAAAAUGAUCUUGUAUAUUAUACAGAUGAUGGCAUAAUCUGGUAUGUGUUAAAUUGAAUACAAUAAAAUGUGGA